UACAGAGGGUGCGAGCGUUGUCCGGAAUCACUGGGCGUAAAGGGCUCGUAGGCGGUUUGUCGCGUCGGGAGUGAAAACCAGGUGCUUAACACCUGGCUUGCUUUCGAUACGGGCAGACUAGAGGCAGGUAGGGGAGAAUGGAAUUCCCGGUGUAGCGGUGAAAUGCGCAGAUAUCGGGAGGAACACCGGUGGCGAAGGCGGCCCACUGGCUCGAUACUGACGCUGAGGUGCGAAAGCGUGGGGAGCAAACAGG
rnacentral:rRNA from 1 species